rnacentral:lncRNA from 1 species
GUUUAGCUAGGCCAACAUGAGCCCGAGCCGUUAGUUAUAUGGGUUAGUCAUGCUGACCCAUAUAUACUGCUUGAAUCCGUUUAGCCCUGACCGUAACCCAUUUAUUUCUUGUCUGGUUUAGUGUGUUUUAAUGAAAUUGUCAUGCCUUUGCUUAUUUAAUAGUUUGUUCAUGCUCUAAUGGUUCUAACCACGUAUUGCAGUAUCUUGUCAAUCUAAACUGGUGACAUGCCUCCUUACGACAGAGGUUAAUGCAGACGUGUAUGAGGCAUAUGCUCUUAUGAGUUAUGAUACUACAAUCCGUUCCUUCGGUAUGGGGUAUGGGCCUGAAUUAAUUAUUUAGUGGCUCAAAUUUAGAUUUGACUAAAUUAUAUAUAGCUGUUUAUGUUUGCAAUUUGAUAUAGAAGCGUUAUUGUUGUCUGUUCUGUUAAUGAAAGCAAGUGAAACUUUUUUGUGCUUUUCCUCUUUUUAAAUUGUCAUACUUUUACCUUUU